AACGAACGCUGGCGGCAUGCCUAACACAUGCAAGUCGAACGAGACCUUCGGGUCUAGUGGCGCACGGGUGCGUAACGCGUGGGAACCUGCCCUUAGGUUCGGAAUAACUCCCCGAAAGGGGUGCUAAUACCGGAUAAUGUCUUCGGACCAAAGAUUUAUCGCCUUUGGAUGGGCCCGCGUUGGAUUAGCUAGUUGGUAGGGUAAAAGCCUACCAAGGCGACGAUCCAUAGCUGGUCUGAGAGGAUGAUCAGCCACACUGGGACUGAGACACGGCCCAGACUCCUACGGGAGGCAGCAGAGGGGAAUAUUGGACAAUGGGCGAAAGCCUGAUCCAGCAAUGCCGCGUGAGUGAUGAAGGCCGUAGGGUUGUAAAGCUCUUUUACCCGGGAUGAUAAUGACGGUACCGGGAGAAUAAGCUCCGGCUAACUCCGUG
rnacentral:rRNA from 1 species